rnacentral:rRNA from 1 species
UACGGAGGGGGCGAGCGUUAUUCGGAAUUAUUGGGCGUAAAGGGCGCGUAGGCGGCCCGGUAAGUCAAAGGUGAAAUCCCUCGGCUCAACUGAGGAACUGCCUUUGAAACUGUCGGGCUUGAGGCCGGGAGAGGUGAGUGGAAUUCCCAGUGUAGCGGUGAAAUGCGUAGAUAUCGGAAGGAACAUCAGUGGCGAAAGCGACUUCCUGGACCAAUACUGACGCUCAUGUGCGAAAGCGUGGGGGAGCAAACAGG